ensembl:lncRNA
GUUAGUCUCUUGUUUCCUUAUUCUUUUUUCCUUCUUUUUUUUUUUUUUUUUUCCCCUUUAUGCAGUUUGAUAAAGAAUGAUCCACGGGGUGUUUUCUCAGUAAAUGCUGGCUUGUUGUUUCCUGCCUUUCACUUUUGGUGCUUGGGAGAUGUUAAAUUAGUUCCUCAGCUCCCCUGAAACCAAAGCCUUGUGCAGUAGUUUCGCUGGCCCUGGGCUGACCGAGGGCUCCUUUCUCUCCUCAUCCCCACUCCUCUUCUGGGGUCAGAGGUGGGGAGAAGCCUCACCGCUGCCAUAAUGCACCGAGCAGCUCAACUCAAGGCAAAGCUACCACACAGCAGCAACGAAAAGUCACGAUUGAGCAGCACAAUGUAUAUGUAUGCCUUCAUUUAAAUUCUUCUCUCCCUCUACUAGUGCUGAUAAAUAAGUUACACGUAUUUUUUAGAAGAAGUUAUUUUCUGUCACUGCACUUUUAAAUGUCAAGCUCCUGGAGAGGAGUCUUCAAGAUAGUUUAAGGUCAGUCAGGCUUCAAGGAAGAAAGAUGCAGGUGGAGAAGAAAAGCUGCUGUUGUGCUGUGGUCCAGCCCAAAGCAGGGCUCCACUCUGAGCGAUGGGCAAGCACAGGCACCUUGAGUGGAGAUGGUGCCCAGAGGCAUUGCCCUCCCUGCACCUCAGCACUCACCCUCGGCUAUGGAAUUACCGAAGACUUCUACACAAAGCCCACUGGCUGGAAAUGAUCUAGCCUGUUAGUUCAGGAGCGCUCAUGAAUAAUGUAUGCAUCCAAAGGUCGGUUUACAAAUGAUUAAUUAACCUUAUGAGAGGUUAUCCUCAUUGGCAACAUCAUUCACCCUAAACAGCUUAAUCAUGUCUGCGCAGAACAGCAUAUCUGAAACACAAACAAUUGUAUGAGAAGGAAUAUUGAGGAAUCAUAGAGCAAGGGCCAGACAUCUGCACUGCUCGCUGGAGCAGCGACCGAACGCCAAGCACAGGGAGGACCUGAACCACAUCUCCAGGCUGUUCUGUAGGACUCGAGCAUCACUUGCUGGAACCUGGCGGCUGCAUGGUGGGGUGUAGCUGGCAAGGUGCAGAAAUUGCACCUUCGCUAAGGGCCGAACCCAAGAAUGACAGAGGGAUGUCUGAAGCACAACUUUGAUAUGGCACAAAGCUCUAAACUGAGGACAGUCAUCCCUACAAACACCUUCCAGCCUCUGUGCCUCAACGCUCUUGCAGAAAAAUAUGGAUGGAAGCAACUCCUAAAAUCCCCAACCACAGGAAACAAAAUUGGUGUUUUUCCAAGUUAAGUACUAUAACAGAGUGAAACAUACAUGUUUAAUUUGAAAAUGUUGAUUCCAAAUGGAUUUUUCUUUUGAAAAAACUUCCCCCAAGCAAGUCAAUAUUUGUAAUCAAAUUGAAAUUUCCUGUGGGAAUUAUUUAUUUUCAUGAGGUCUAAUUUUUACAGGGGAAAAUUCUGCACAGGAAGGUUUAAGUUGCUGUAAACCAGCGUUAGGAAUCUGGGUGGUAGGAGGGGGGCUGGGAAAUCCCACUCUGUGCUGCAAAGUGUCACCACUUCCCUGUGAUGGAGGUGAUGUGAUGAAAAAGUUGGAACUCCUCUUUGAAGAGGGAAAAGCAUGAGCAGAAAGGUGAGAAAUUGGGAAGGAAGGAGCAUUCAGUUCGCUAGAUUUUUCCUCCCCCCUUUAUUUCUUGAGAACACAGCAGUGUGGGAUAGGACUCACCACGAGCAACGCUAGAGAUGGAAGUGAGAUACCCAAGAUGGCUGUUCUGAGCCUCCUGUGCUGGGGCGCCCUGUAGUUCACCUACCCUUAUUCUGCCAUCUGUUGGAAGAAGUGGGUCAUGCCAUUGACUUCAGUUGCCUUGAGGAGACACGGGGAUAAGAGCAACUGGUCCACGUCCACUGUAACCAUACAAAUCCCACCCACAGUGCUUGACGUGUUCAGGGGUACAGGGGGAGUGUGCAACCCUGUGCCUUGUGCAGCCGUUACUACACUGAUGGGACUCUCAGCCAGUUCUCCAAACCUCAUGAGAAGAGAGCAUGUUGGUCUUCCAGCAUCUUCAAGGAAGCCCUUCAAAGACAGUUGUCAUGGCUUCAUCCUAAGGGCGAUUUUCUUGUAGAACCUGUGUCCACUGUAGAGCAACGACUGUGGCUAAUGAUGUGCAUAAUUUACAUUAUUAUACCUUUCAUUUUUGUAUUAUGAUAAAUCACCUACCUUCCCAUUUCUUUUUAUUGUGAUGUGCUGGGAACACAAUAUAGCAGGAGGAAAACAAUACAGCGCUGCCCCUGUCAGUCUCAAACACAGAAGCAGCACACCCAUGCUACAAACACUCACAGAUGCACAGCACCGUAUCAGAUUAUUAGCUCCAAGGCAACUGUCAGCAUGCAGUUUUAUUGGAAAUGAAAACAAGGUAAUUCAAGAUUUAUUUUCUCUCUAAGGAAGUGCCAGGAGGCAGGAGCCAGCCCCCGGCAUCUACCGUAAAACACCCGGCGCAUGGUAACGUGCUGCUCCUCAAGCAGAGCUCCUGGACUGGGGAUUUUUUGAGUGAUCUCUUCCAAAAGAGGAGAAUUCUCCUCCUUGUCCCCAGACUGUAUCCUGAAGGGAGUGAUGUAGAUUGAGUGACUUGAGUUUUGCUUUACCUAAAGGGAGAUAAAUGCACCCUACACUACUGUGGCUGCAGGCACAGCUCCUGGGAGACCUCGGGUGGCUCUUAAUCACAUAUCCUUGAAGCUUCAGAAACAUACCCUGAUUAUUUUCCGGCUCAAAGCAUUCAUUGCCUCCAGGAUAUUACCAUCUUUGCCCCCUUUCUAAUGGUUGAGGGUGAACUGAUUACCAAAUUAAAACCCUUAUUAGCAGCUAUCUUGGUAUGUCGUGCCCUGAUUUUAUUGCUGUGCCCAAAAGUGAUACGUGCCUGGGCACCAAGACAGGCACAUGCUGUGCCCAAGCUGAAAAUAUUUAGGAACUGGUAGGAAAAUCACAGGAAAUAUUUCUGAGUGAUUAAUUUAGAGUCGUUGAAGACCGUUCUAAAAGAUGCUCUAAAUGUGUUCAUACCAGCUGCACUGGUUAAAAAGGCAAUGGAAAAAUACACCUUGGUUAGAUGAAAGGUGAAAGAAGCAAUAAAAACGCAUAAAACAACCUAUAUAAUAAAUGGGAUAAGAGCAAACCAACAGCAACAAUUAUUGGUCAGAAGGCAAGAGAUGCGAACAGUGCUUGACAAUAAGCUGUGUCAUGAAAAGAGCCUUAAUGGAGAUGGAGAGGCAGCCUCCACGUCCGGGUGUUUGGGUUCGCAGCGAUGCUGGCAGUCCUGCAAAGAGGGAGCCCAGCAGGGCUGCUCCGGUGUGUCGGUAAUUUCAAAUGGAGGCUUGCUGUCAUGUUUUGGACUGUGCUGAACUGUUAAUGAAACAUGCCUGCCUCCCCCUAGGUGUGUGUAUUUCUUUAAAAUCUGAAAAACAAAGCUUGGAAACCUAACUCUUCAGACUAAAAUGAGAAAAAAAAGAAAAAAAAAAAAAGCUUCUUUUCUUAGUGUGUCAUCAAUCUUUUUUAAAGGUCUUCCCAGCUCUAUCAUCACUCAGAGAUGCAGGAAGAAGAUCCUGCAGGGCACUGUGGAAAGAUCCGCAUCCAGCAGUACUGUUUGGACAGUCGUACUCGACCAUCAUUUCCCAAACGUGAGAUGUUCAACUGCUGCUCAGGAUGUCCCCACCAAGGGGAGCAUCCCUCCUUGGACACUGAUCUCUGCAGUCCUGAUGCUGAAUUAUUCUGGGAAGGAGUAUCAGGGGAACAAAUUAGUGAGGUGUUCUUACCAGAAAAUCCCGUGGCUACAGCUACCUGCAAGCAACAGGGCCCAGAGACUUGUACUUCCCUAUUCUGAUGCCUAAGCUUGAGGUUUGCCAGCACCUCUUGGUGAGCAGGAAGCUUCCAGCUGUGUUAGCUCUUCUGACAUGGCAAUUGCUCCAAAGGAGUUUCUCCAUCCUCCCUAUCUUUGCCUUAGUGGAAGGCUGAGAAGCCCUUGGCUGACAGCCAUUCCAAUACAUCUUGCAGGUAAUCCAUAGUUUCCUGGGUCAGAGCAGCUUCUCAGCAGCAAUCCUCUACUCUUAAAGUCAGUCCCCUUUCCUAGGUGGGAUACUUCUGCAGCACAAUCCCGUGUUCUGCCCUGGGUGAAGUUAGCCAGGACUUUGCACUCUCAAGGUCUUCAUCCAAAGCAGAAGUAACACAGCAAAAUGGACGUCAUGCUCAACCAAGAAGUAGUUGACACUAUCAGGACUUGGAGGAAUUAAAAUAAAUGACCAAAGUAAUUUUUGGCAGAGGACUCGAUUUCAAAGGACAAUGCACUGUCCAUUCUUCCCAGGGGAUGUUCUGGGAUAGACCUGCAUGAGUAACCUACAGCCAUUUUGAGCCAUCCCCUACUGCCCUCAGCAAGAACUUUCUGACCAAAACUUCAGGUGGAACGUACCAGCUAAGUGUGCUCAAGAUAUAUCACCCAAAGGACUGACACCACCAGCAGGACCAAAAGGAUGAUGUGUUCAGCAUGCUCAGGUUGGGCUUCGUGCCCAAAGGCAGCUGGUUUGUCCUCAUGGGGCAAGUCCUGCAUUGCCCAGGAAACACACUGUGCAAAUCCAUCGUGGAGGCUAGAACACAUCCAUGCAUGGAUCCUGAAGACUAACCUUGUCCCCUUCUCCAGGUGCCUGGGAACCUUGGCCACACACACGUACAGACCAGCCAGGUGCUGCAGGAAGCAGCAGGAUGAUAGAUGGCAGCUGCAAGCUGAGAGGUACAUGCACAAAACCCAUUUUUUUCUCCGCAAGGUUCAAAUAUUUUUGCUCCAUCUGAGGCUUGGAUCCAGGUUCUCCUGCAUGGCAGUCAGAGAUGCUGGAAAAGGCUCAACAUUAGAGCUCAGGAAUGGGGGCUCAGGUUCUGUUCCCCAGCUUAGGGCAGUGCUGGUAAAGAUCUGCCCUCACCCAGGCGCCUGGGAAGCUUUUGGCUGCUGCUGGCAUUAGUGCAGAAAGCAAGAAGACAUUUACUUCCAGGAACAGAUGCAAACACAGGGAAUUGCCAAUUGGCCAAAAUCAAAUACAACCUGACCUCUGAUGAUCUGCAGCCUUACUACUUUCAAACAACACUGCACUCAAUAUUGGCAAUAUAAUAGUUUACCUUGGAGACCCAAGGGCUAAAGGAGAAAUGAAACCUGAAGCUGCUGGAGAUGUUGCUUUUCCACUGUUUCUAUUACCGAUAACAGGCCAGCAAAACCCCACGAGGUUCUUGAGCUCUAGGAGAGCCUGCCUGCACCUCCUCCCCAAGACUUCGUGCCAAAAUACCCCAAAACUUAAGAGCUGGGCUUCAUCAGAGCACCUGAUAAAUAUAGAAAGUAGAGAAUGAUCUGGAAUAGUGAUGUUCUACCCUGGGAGGAAGGUCCUUUCUUUUGGGUUUCCUUUCAGUCCUGCAACCUCCCAGCAAUCCCCUGGGUAAUCACAAAGCCUUGCUGCCCCCAGAAAAGCCCCUUUCUUUCCUUUGAAGGGGAGCUGACACCCACAGGGAACAAACCCUAAGUCAGAAAUAAUGGGAGUCCUUUGAAAAAAACCAAAAACAUCCGAGUCUGAAUAUAACCACAAGGAAAAAAAUGGAAACUUAUCUGCAAUAUGCACCCCCUCCCAAGCAAAUUAAUACCCUGGACCAGAGCCUUGUCCAGAAGCAGUGUAAAUAUCUCAGCAACUCAUUACCUUGUUAAUUGGAUCACUCCAAGCUUUUUGGAACCAGUCUAAAGCACAGUCAAAUCCAUUAAAAAAUGGAUUUCUUAUUUCUCUAUAGCUGUCUCUAGCUUUAG